GAACGGGUGAGUAACACGUGGGUAACCUGCCCAUCAGAAGGGGAUAACACUUGGAAACAGGUGCUAAUACCGUAUAACAAUCAAAACCGCAUGGUUUUGAUUUGAAAGGCGCUUUCGGGUGUCGCUGAUGGAUGGACCCGCGGUGCAUUAGCUAGUUGGUGAGGUAACGGCUCACCAAGGCCACGAUGCAUAGCCGACCUGAGAGGGUGAUCGGCCACAUUGGGACUGAGACACGGCCCAAACUCCUACGGGAGGCAGCAGUAGGGAAUCUUCGGCAAUGGACGAAAGUCUGACCGAGCAACGCCGCGUGAGUGAAGAAGGUUUUCGGAUCGUAAAACUCUGUUGUUAGAGAAGAACAAGGAUGAGAGUAACUGUUCAUCCCUUGACGGUAUCUAACCAGAAAGCCACGGCUAACUACGUGCCAGCAGCCGCGGUAAUACGUAGGUGGCAAGCGUUGUCCGGAUUUAUUGGGCGUAAAGCGAGCGCAGGCGGUUUCUUAAGUCUGAUGUGAAAGCCCCCGGCUCAACCGGGGAGGGUCAUUGGAAACUGGGAGACUUGAGUGCAGAAGAGGAGAGUGGAAUUCCAUGUGUAGCGGUGAAAUGCGUAGAUAUAUGGAGGAACACCAGUGGCGAAGGCGGCUCUCUGGUCUGUAACUGACGCUGAGGCUCGAAAGCGUGGGGAGCAAACAGGAUUAGAUACCCUGGUAGUCCACGCCGUAAACGAUGAGUGCUAAGUGUUGGAGGGUUUCCGCCCUUCAGUGCUGCAGCUAACGCAUUAAGCACUCCGCCUGGGGAGUACGACCGCAAGGUUGAAACUCAAAGGAAUUGANNGGGCCCGCACAAGCGGUGGAGCAUGUGGUUUAAUUCGAAGCAACGCGA
rnacentral:rRNA from 1 species